rnacentral:rRNA from 1 species
ACAAUGGAGAGUUUGAUCCUGGCUCAGGAUGAACGCUAGCGGCAGGCCUAAUACAUGCAAGUCGAACGGUAACAUGAGAGCUUGCUCUUGAUGACGAGUGGCGCACGGGUGCGUAACGCGUAUGCAACCUACCUGUAACUGGGAGAUAGCCCGGAGAAAUUCGGAUUAAUACCCCAUAGUACUAUAAUGCAGCAUUACAUAAUAGUUAAAGAUUUAUUGGUUACAGAUGGGCAUGCGUGACAUUAGUUAGUUGGUGAGGUAACGGCUCACCAAGGCGAUGAUGUCUAGGGGUUCUGAGAGGAUGAUCCCCCACACUGGAACUGAGACACGG